GUAAACUUAUGCAUGCCUGGUCAGCAUUUUACGGUCUGUCUCUGCUGUUCUACUUAACUCUGUCUGUUCACACAAUCCAGAAGGAUAUAGCCGUCUCUCCACACAGACGUGCACCUGUUGUCUGGUGUAGCGGCUUUGCUGUUUCCUGCCUGUCUCACUUGGGACCGUUUAGUGCAUCAUAACAUUUCAUCCCCGUAGUAUAAAGUACAUAUAAAAUACUCCACCUGUCUUCCAGCACUGAAGACUUUUGUUCUGUUACAGAUCUAGUCUCAUCAUUAACAAGCUGCUGGUGCUCUGAGACUGAGCACAGGGAGCGAGGGGAGCUGAUAACGUGGCAUAGAGUUACAGAGCCAUCUGUGGAAGUGGCACCAUUACAUCAGCUUUGGGCACAGACCUGCCGUACUGCAAGAGUGUUCUCUGGCAGAGAUGGGCGGCAGCUCAUCACUGAUUUUUGGCAGAAGCAUCUCUCUCCGGUUGAGAUGGGCUGUUCGAGCGGCACCGGGUUCUGCACCGGGCAGUUCUGUACUGCAUGUCCCUGUUAUUCAACCAUCUUGGGGAAAAGCCUUGCCCGCGGCAAAGGCCAAUUUGUGUUCCUCUCAGGGAGGAUAGAGGGGUUUCCUCCUGAGACCGGAGAGGAACAGAUUGUGGAAUUACUAUUGGGCUACAGGAGUACCGGACCUGCAGGCUUCUGGCACAUGAAGAAUCACUGGAGCAUAUGUCGCCAGCAUGAUUCAUUCAUUUACAUUUAUAGAGUGGAAGUGGGCCAGGUAGCACACCGUGGUGACUGUCAACAGCACCUCCAUCUUCACACACUUCACAUACACCCGUCCCACCAUCCGACCAUAUGUCCCGAGAAACACAAUUUCUAAUGGACAAGGACAGCUGUAUCAGUUAGUCCUAGUGAGCAGCAUAGCCAUCCUUCCCCUGAGCAUUACAUCAUUCUGAGGGACAACCGAGCCAAUCAACAGCCUGGCAGGAUUACGCAGCAUAUGGGCAUGUCCUGACUGUGAGGGAGAGCUAAACAGAGCAACUGUCAAUGGUGAAAUGGUGUGUGGGUGUCGUACACAGUAAUGGGUCAAUCACUCCGAAAAUAAGACUUUUUCUUCUGACUGAGCACGGAAGAGCUCUGUUCUCACCUAAUGUUGUGAAGAUCAGACAAUAAUUGGUAGACCUCCUGCUGUACCACCACAGACCCCUGUUGAAGACUCCUGAUGUGGUAUAUGAAUAUGCAUACUUAAAGGAGAGAGAGGCCUAACAUGACCUGUCCUGAUCCACAUCCCCAUCUAUUCACAAAGUGGUCCACGAGCCUGCGAUGCAAAGCAAAGCGACAAUGGGAUCAGUCCGCAUUUGCAUUAUGAGCACACAAUGCAUGACACAAGCUUGCCCAGAGAGAUAUUUCUGCUCAGAAAAUAUCUGGCUUCAGAAGGAUGUGUCUGCAGUGCUCAGCAUCACUCCACUGACUAUGUCUCUUGCUUAUUAACAAACCAGCCUGUCACUUUAUAAACCCUGUUUCAGCUUUCCCUCAGCCGCACACACAUACACAUCAUGAAAUACACUUAGACAAUGACAAACACACAAAUUGUCCAGUCAGUUUAAGUGAAACUCUCACCGUGCACAUGUCAUGUUAGUCACACAGAGCAUGUUGAGGUUUUAAUACAGUAAUGCAUACUAGAAAUGUUAUUAAGAAGGUGGGAAUAAUGAUUAAAAAAAAAAUAAAAAAAAUUGGGGGGUUUCCAAAUUCUUUUAUACCCACAAUUAACCAUGAUGCUGCUGUGAUGCUGAAAAAUGUGUCCUAUCUAGUUUGCUUAUAUUUCUUAACAUAAUGUAAUGUAAUGGUAAGAGGACAACUAACG
ensembl:lncRNA